AUUGGUGCAACCUCUAGCUUGGAGGUCUCGACGCGGGUUCGAGCCCGCUGGGCCACAAAGGACAUCC
rnacentral:sRNA from 1 species